rnacentral:rRNA from 1 species
GUCCACGCCCUAAACGAUGUACACUAGUUGUUGUGAGGCUAGACCUUGCAGUAAUGCAGUUAACACAUUAAGUGUACCGCCUGGGAGUACGGUCGCAAGAUUAAACUCAAGGAAUAGACGGGACCCGCACAAGCGGUGGAGCAUGUGGUUUAAUUCGACGAUACACGAAGAACCUUACCUGGACUUGACAUAGUAAGAACUUUUCUAGAGAUAGAUUGGUGUCUGCUUGCAGAAACUUAUAUACAGGUGCUGCACGGCUGUCGU